rnacentral:rRNA from 1 species
AUACGUAGGGGGCGAGCGUUGUCCGGAAUUACUGGGCGUAAAGGGCGCGUAGGCGGCCUUUUAAGUCAGGCGUGAAACCCCCGGGCUUAACCUGGGGCAUGCGCAUGAGACUGGAAGGCUUGAGUGCAGGAGAGGAAAGCGGAAUUCCUAGUGUAGCGGUGAAAUGCGUAGAUAUUAGGAGGAACACCAGUGGCGAAGGCGGCUUUCUGGACUGUAACUGACGCUGAGGCGCGAAAGCGUGGGGAGCAAACAGGAUUAGAUACCCUGGUAGUCCACGCUGUAAACGAUGGAUACUAGGUGUAGGGGGUAUCGACCCCCCCUGUGCCGGAGUUAACACAAUAAGUAUCCCGCCUGGGGAGUACGGCCGCAAGGUUGAA